rnacentral:tRNA from 1 species
GCACCCUUAGCUCAGUUGGUAGAGCACACCCCUCACACGGGUGGGGUCGUAGGUUCGAGUCCUACAGGGUGCA